rnacentral:rRNA from 1 species
GAGUGUGAUCAUACCAGCGUUAAUGCAUCGGAUCCCAUCAAAACUCUGUAGUUAAGCGCGCUUGGGCUAGAGUAGUACUAUGAUGGGUGACAUCUUGGGAAGUCCUAGUGUUGCGCCCU